GGACCCGCACAAGUAGUGGAGCAUGUGGUUUAAUUCGAAGAUACGCGCAGAACCUUACCAACACUUGACAUGUUCGUCGCGACUUUAAGAGAUUAAAGUUUUCGGUUCGGCCGGACGAAACACAGGUGCUGCAUGGCUGUCGUCAGCUCGUGUCGUGAGAUGUUGGGUUAAGUCCCGCAACGAGCGCAACCCUCACUUUUAGUUGCCAUCAUUUAGUUGGGCACUCUGAAAGAACUGCCAGUGAUAAGCUGGAGGAAGGUGGGGAUGACGUCAAGUCCUCAUGGCCCUUACGUGUUGGGCUACACACGUGCUACAAUGGUAUCUACAAAAGGAUGCAAGAUGGCGACAUUAAGCAAAUCCUUAAAAGAUACCUCAGUUCGGAUUGCACUCUGCAACUCGAGUGCAUGAAGCUGGAAUUACUAGUAAUCGU
rnacentral:rRNA from 1 species